rnacentral:rRNA from 1 species
GGGGAAUAUUGCACAAUGGGCGCAAGCCUGAUGCAGCCAUGCCGCGUGUGUGAAGAAGGCCUUAUGGUUGUAAAGCACUUUAAGCGAGGAGGAGGCUCUUUUGGUUAAUACCCAAGAUGAGUGGACGUUACUCGCAGAAUAAGCACCGGCUAACUCUGUGCCAGCAGCCGCGGUAAUACAGAGGGUGCGAGCGUUAAUCGGAUUUACUGGGCGUAAAGCGUGCGUAGGCGGCUUUUUAAGUCGGAUGUGAAAUCCCCGAGCUUAACUUGGGAAUUGCAUUCGAUACUGGGAAGCUAGAGUAUGGGAGAGGAUGGUAGAAUUCCAGGUGUAGCGGUGAAAUGCGUAGAGAUCUGGAGGAAUACCGAUGGCGAAGGCAGCCAUCUGGCCUAAUACUGACGCUGAGGGACGAAAGCAUGGGGAGCAAAC